CAUAGCGACUAUCGUGGCAUAUCAAUAAGCGGAGGAAAAGAAACUAACAAGGAUUCCCUAGUAACGGCGAGUGAAGCGGGAAGAGCUCAAAUUUGAAAUCUUCAAGGUUUACCUUGACGAAUUGUAGUUUAAAGAAGUGUUUUUGUUGGAGUUUUGGUAAAAGUUCUUUGGAAUAGGACAUCAUAGAGGGUGAGGAUCCCGUAUUUGACCAUUAUUUCCAGCUGUGUGAUACACUUUCAAAGAGUCGGAUUGUUUGGGAAUGCAGUCCAAAAUGGGUGGUAAAUUUCAUCUAAAGCUAAAUAUUGGCGAGAGACCGAUAGCGAACAAGUACCGUGAGGGAAAGAUGAAAAGAACUUUGAAAAGAGAGUUAAACAGUACGUGAAAUUGUCAAAAGGGAAGCGUUUGACACCAGUGUUGUUUUCUCGAAAAUCAAUUAAAAAUGGUGGGACUUUGUGUUGUAUUGACCUUAUCAGCUUUCUGCACUUUUUUCCUAUCUUUUUUAAUGCACUUUUCGUUUAACAAGUCAACAUCAAUUUCUUUUGCUGUAAAAGAGUCAUUGGAAGGUGGCUUUCUUUUCGGAGAAAGUGUUUAUAGCCUUUGACUUCUGCAGUCGGAGAGAUUGAGGUCUGCAGCGUAGAUCCUUCGGGGUUAGAUACAUUUGUGCUAAGCUAUAGCCUUUCAUAGACAACUUGUUGACUAUGAUCAGUCAUGUAGCUUACUCGCUUAUGCUAUUUUACCUACGCUUAGGAUGUUGACGAGACUGUCGAUCUC
rnacentral:rRNA from 1 species